AAAAAAAAAAAAAAAAAACUGUGGUUUUAGUCUUGAAUUUGAUCUUUAACAAAAAAUUAAGGACUAAAAUUAACAAAUCUUAGGAACUUAACAUAAAAAUCACCAUUUAAAAACGUUGGGCAAAAUGCGUUUCGAGAACUCAAUUUCAUCACUAAUUGUCUGUUUAAAAUAGAUUAAUAAUAUCUUUUCAAAUGUAAAUAAAUAGGUUAUUUGCAAGAAACUCAUUGUCCAUUUAAUUUAUCUAUGACUAUUGUCUUGAUAAUUUUUAUUGUUGAAAAAGAUUUCUCUAUUGUUGUUAUUAAGACCGAAAGUAUCAAACCAAUACAAAUAAAUAUAUCAAUCUUAUAGUAAUUUUUUUACUUUAUUAUUUAUGCUAAUUUUUGCAACUAAAUUUAUUUGGGGUAGCCGGAUACAAGUACAUACCGACCACUUUAAGAAUAAUAUUUUUUUUUUGGGUAGCCAAGGCUACCCCUCCCAUAAGAUGGGCUACGCCUCUGAUCCUAACCCUAACCCAACUAUAAUUGAGGCCACAUAAUUACAAUUUGACUUAAUGUAAGGAAUAUGAUUUCCCAAAUGGUUGUAUUAAUCAUACCUCCAUCGAGUCUAGUGGUGCAUUUGUUUACUGCUCCUUCAACAUGUUAAGUGGCACAUGAAUAUGACCUUACACCUUUCUGGUUCUGUCUGUAUCUUGUAAAUGCAAUUGCAAUUGCUAGUACCUACAGUACACCUUAUAACAAACUCAAUUAAUUGGUCUCUAAACUUUAUAAACAUCAAUUUCAAUAGCUCGGAAUCCAUAUGCAAUUUGAACAUAAAAGCAUCCCUUCAAAUAAGCUUCCAUGCUCCCCACUAACUUCAUUUGCAUUCCAAUGUCAUUUUUUAAGGUCUCAAAGAUUAUGACUUCGAAUAUAAAGCAAAAAUUGGGGUUAAAAAAUAGCCUUGGAAAAUUUUCCAUCAAAAUGUAGUGCAUAUAUAUUAUAUGUCAUGAUAUAUUAAUCAGCAUUGAGGUGCUGCAGGUUCUAGCUAGUGUUCCAUGGUUCUGUCCUUAUAUGUGUAAGGUACUCUACUCAAUCAUAAACAAAAGGGUUAAUUAAGUAAAUUGUCUCUAUAAAUAUUAGAAAUUAUUUUUAUGUAAUGAAAAAAAUAAUUGCACUUUCCAAAUUAUCUUUUAUUUUUUUAUUAAUUCUUAUUAGGAAUUGCUUCAUUGAAGUUACUUUGAAACUAAUUGUAUUAAAUAAGGUGAGAUCGGUUAGAUUUUCUUGGUUUGGAUUUUGGAUAUAAAGCUGUUUCUUUUUUCUUCAUUUAGAUUGGAACUGUUUGAUGGAAAAAAAUGUUCCAUUAGUUUAGAACAAAAUUGUUGAUUGGAUUUGCGGUUAAUGCCUUUUUCAAUUGGUUUGGCUUAGAUAUGAGAUUAAGAAGAUUUGACUUGGUAUGGUUUGUAUGAGUGAUUUUUAUUGUUGAGGAUGAAGAUUGAUUUUGGUUUAAUUUUAAUUUUAAUUUCAAUUUUCUAAUUUCUUUUAAUUUUUAAUUUGAAUUAAUUUCCAUGUGUGCGCACAGUUUGAAAAUAUUUUAAAUAAAAAAAUAUCCACAUAAUCAGGUCAAAAUUAAGGAGGAUCACAGUUUUGCAACGGGGUGAAAGUUUGAGGUUAAAAGUGUGAUUUUCAAACUACAGUGACCAUGCUGGCUAGUUUUGGAAACUUGAAGGGGAGCAAAAGUACAUUUUAACCAAAGAGGAUUGUAAAUGGAAAUGAUCCUAACUCUAUUUUUUUUUAAGAAGGAUCCUAACUCUAUUUAUUUAGCAAUCAACAAUGCACACUUUUCCAUUCCAAAAAAAAAUAAAAUCGCACACUAUCUUCUCUUAUUUCAAUCAAUGUUUUAUUUUAGUAGUUUAGUGAUUAUAAAUUUGUCUCUUUUAAGGUUGAAUAAGUGAGGGUGUUCAUAAUUUAAACGUCGAUCCUUCAUAUAUUAUGCAAUGUCCUUAUCAGUUGAGUUAAACUCGAUGAACUAUUUUAACCGAUUCCUUAGAUAAAAUAAAUAAAUUAAAAGGAUCUCGUAUAUCUUAAGUGUUUUUGUUGCAGCCAUUUCCUAAUUUAUAUACGUGCUUAUAUUUUUUUUUUAUACAUAACAUAUCCCAUAUUUUUUAUUUAAUUUACACACGUGUCUGUAUUUUUGAUCAUAUAUUAUAACGAGGUCUUAUUUUUAUUUUUUUUGGUAGAAAUUGAAUUAAUUACCGAUACAUAAGAGGAUUACAAGAAGUCUUGCAAUCAACAAAAAGCAAAGAGAUCUCUGUGAGCUUAGCUCAGCUGGUAGAGAUAUCGUAUAGGGAUCGGGAGUUCGAAUCCCGAUCAUCCCACUUCUUCAGAAUUAAAUUGUGUAAGUUAUAACCACUAAACUACUUGACAAAAAAAAAACAAAGUGUAUAGUAAAGAACUACUAGUAGAAUAUUAUAAAGUAAGUAAAGUAUACGAAACCCUAUGGCCUAAAGAAGUAAUAAAAUGAGCACACUUAUUAGCGUCUUGAUUGAUAAGUUGAACUAUUGGCUCUUGAAUGGCACAUGUGUUGUUCGGACACAAGUUAAGGAGCCAAAAAAAUUGAAAGACAAAUUUUGUAUUGAAAAAAUAAAUUUUAAUGUUUUAAGAUAUUGAAUGGACAAUUUUAAAAAAAAUACUUCUAUAUUUAGGCUGUGUGUGGUAAAAAAAAAAUAGUGGAUAGCUUAUAAGCUAUUUUAUAGUGGAUGAGUUUAUAGAAAAUAAUUUAUAAGUUAGAAUUUGUAAUGUUUAGUAAAAUUAGCGGUUGAAGUUGUUUAUAAAUUUAAAAUGACAUAAAAUAGUGUAUUUAAUUAAUAUUUAUAUUUCCAAUUAAGAUUAAGUUAUAAGUUUCUUGAAUUAGCUUAUCACAAACUACUAUAAACUCAUACAAAUAAGCUAUAAACUCGUGUAAAAAUAACAUUUAUCAGAGAUGUCGUUUUUAAUCACACGAGCUUAUAAGCUAUGUCAUAACCUUGAAUUUAUGUCUUACCAAACAAAGCCUUAGUGAUUGUUUGGGACUGUAUUAGUAGGCUUGUAGACUUACAUUUUUUCAAAGCAAGAAAUACUAUCUUCUUAUUUUCACAUUAAAAGUUUUUUGGACGUGCGCCCACGGCGAAAGGAAUUGGAAACAAACACGUUAGUAGUUUAUUAACGUGUACUCUUAAGAUAUAAGUUAGUAUAAUGCCUUCGAGGUGGUAUAGUAAGUGUUUAUAUCAUAUGAUUACUUAUAAGUGUCUAGUUAAAUUGUUUAUCUUUAUUAACAAUAAUUAGAGAAAUGCUAGGCUCACACCCACUAACACUCUCUUUUAACACACCCAAUAAAAAUUAACUAUGUAUCCCAUUUUUUUAAUUCAAUUUACCUGUAACCUGCUCAUCCUAUUUCUAAAGGUUUGAUUUUUUUUUGAGAGAGAAAGAGAAAAAAGAAAAAGAAGAGAGAGAAGAGUGUUGAGAAACAACAUGCAUCUGAAUCAAGUCUUCAAUAGGAUGAAAUUUCAAUGGAAUUUCCUUGCUUAUGAAACAAAGCUUGAAUUUGUUCACUCUCUUCUCCCAUUCUCCAAAACUGCACUAAUCUCUCUGCCUUCUUCUCAGAAUUUACGACACUUCUACUCCCACUGUCAAACAUCUAUUUUCUUUCCCAGGACAACAAAUUGGAAUUUCUCAAUUUGAAAAACCCCAAAUCUUCCAUGUGAAUGUCUAUCUUCAAAUUAAAUAUCCUUGGUGAGAAAAUUAGCCCAGACUUAUAAUCUUCCCCCAAUUUACGAUGCACAUACCGAUUAUGGUUUCACCAACUAUCUUCUUUUUCUUUUUUCUCUUUUUCUCCAAAAAGAAAAAAGAAAAAUCAAACCUUUAGAAACAGGAUGAGCAGGUUACAAGUAAAUUGAAUUAAAAAAAAAAAAUGGGACACAUGGCUAAUUAUUAUUGGGUGUGUUAAAAGAGAGUGUAAGUGGGUGUGACUCUAGCAUUUCUCUAAUAAUUGAAAGAGUUUUACUUUUCCCACCUUACGUCUUUCCUCACGCGCCCUAUUUUUUUCCUUCCAAUUUUACCCCUGGUUCGGAUUUCGUUUUCCGGAUUGUAUUGUUAGAAUUUUGCAGAUGUUUCCGUAUUUGAAAAUCUGGAAUAAUGUUUUACCAGAACUUUUGCAAUUUUAAGCUUUACAAUUCGUAAAAUAAAAUGCGAAUAAGAUAAAAAAAAACAUAAAUAAAAAGACACAAAUAUAAAAACAACUCAUUUUUUUAAUAUAUGAACAAUACAUUAAAAUAAUUUUCAAGCUUUUUAAGCUUAUUACAUAAGAUCCUAAAUCUAUUUCUAAUCUCCUAAGAGCCUAAUUCUAAUCUCCUAAGAUCCUAACCACUGCUAUGUGAUAGGACAUAGCAGUAGGUUCCCUAUAGGAGGAAAACCGGAGGAGGAGGGAAGAGGAGAGCGGGAAGAAGAAAACAAUGCCCCUCAGGGAGGUGGGGGUGCUCAAACUUACGCCCAAACAGGUCAAGCUAAGAACCACACUGACCCACAUGACCCUCAGAUGAACUGCACUUCGUUGCAACGCGGUUCCAUCAUCAUUAACCGUUCAUACAAACCCUGAAAGUUUUCAACGAGGCCCUUAUCUAUGAAAGACCUACGAUGGAAAACCAUGGUUGUAGAAGGAAGAAGAGGAUGAGAGUGUGGGAGAGGAUGGUGGGGUUUAGAAGGCUAUUUAUAGGGAGGGGUGAGUCAAAAACGGUUGGGAGGCCAUAAAUGCAGUCAAAAAACAUGGUAAAAUGCAUUUUUUGACCUGACCACCGACAAAAACGUGUGAUGCAGACCACCAGCCAUGACUAAUGCAUUCCGGAAUAUAAAAUCCGGAAUGCAAAUCAAUUUUCCGAAAUAUAUUUUCCGAAUUAAUGCGAUAAUGGUGAACGAGGGAAAAGUUGGCACUUCCUGUAGGGUUAAGGACAAUCCGGAAUGGAAAAUCCGAAAAGCUUCAGCAUUGGAUUCUUUUGAAAGAGAGCCAUUAAUGUGUGUUUGGACGGUUACAACCACUAACAGCUUUUCAUUCUUCACUUCACCUCUUUUCUUCCAUUUUCUUCAAAUGUUUUUAGUUUUUUAGGGGUGUCGGUGGUGUCAUGGUCAUUGUUGACCGUUCAUAUGAACCCUUCAAUAGCAUUGCAGCCUGUGUGGGGUUCAUAUAACGGUCAACAGAGACUCUUGACAUCAAAGAAAGACACAAAAAACCACAUAACAUCUGGUCCGGAUUUAAUUUUCCGGAAAUCACUAACAAUCUGGUCUGUAUUAUAUAAUCCGAACCAGGGGUAUUUUUGGAAAUUUUGCAGGGCGCGCGAGAAACCACCAGGAUGGAAAGGUAAUAGUCUAAUUAAAAUGUUUAUUCCAAUACACCAAAUUGCACUUGCAUGGAAAAUAUACAAGAAACCAGCAUCCCUUUUUCUUUUUUUAAGGAGGAAACCAACAGCAGUUCAUGGCUGGAAUAGGUUCUAUUGAUGGAAUUUUUUCCAGUUUGGAUCGUGACUAUUGAUGACUUGUUCCACAACAAAUCGAAAGGAAAAUUUUAUUUUAUACCCUAAUAUUUGUACCUCACCCAUACAAAUUAUUGAUAAUUCCAAACUUGUUAUUUUUUGUCAUUUAACUUUUUUAUUCCUUAAUUUUUUUUCACCCUCAAUUUCAACAUUUCUUAGUUCAACAUAAGUUCAUCCCUAUAUGAUAUUCCAAUAUUUCUAUGAAAUUUUCGAAAAACUUACAUCUUUAGGUCGAGUUAAAAUUUCGAAAAACUAUCCAAAACGUUUUUAGGAUGUCUCUUUUUUUUUUCUUUCAAAAAAGUCAUAUUUAUUUUUCCGAAGUUGAAUCCGGAAAUGAUUUGACAAUCUUUUCCGAUGCAAUAAUAAUGAGAUGCUUUGAGUUUACCAGUUUAUACCUAAAUGCUUCACAUCCAACCUUGCCAUAAGGCAACACAUUACUCCAACAAUACUACAAGUAUUCUUUGACAGUCCUUUAUUAUUUUUUUUAUUUUUUUUGUCAAGUAGGCUAGUUAGGGGUGUUCGCAUCCAAUCCAAUCCAAUGCAAACCGCAGCAACCGAACCGAAAAACCGAAAACCGAAAAAAAACCGCAAUUUUAAAUGGAUUGGAUUGGUUUUCGGUUCACAUGGUAUAAACCGAUCCAAUCCAAUCCAAACCGAACUUAUACUUGUAUAUAUGAAUUUCUUGUAAAUGUAAUCCUUAACUACUAUUAUUCUGUAACGUUUCUAUUCUCUAUGACUUUCUCUUUGUAUUGACUUUUUUCAAAUUUUUAACAAAUAUUAUUAAUUGUAUUAAUUCUCUUCCUUGAUUAAGGAGUAUACAUUCAAUGAUCACUUCUACCAAAACAAAAAUCACUCAAACGACAAUCAGCCAUUUAUGCUAUAUAUUUGCCUAGGCAGGCUCUUGUUUCUGUAUACUCAUUCACCUUUGGCCUUUCAUUUGCUGAAGCACUUCAUCCCCUCCCUCUCUN
rnacentral:lncRNA from 1 species